CAAAGGCGGAACGGAACGCGCGUGCCCUCCUGUCGAACGAAGCCAGCGGCAUUGUCGGCUCCGGAUGCCACAAGGCCACCUGCGUAUCUCUGGAAUCCCCCGCCAUCCCGGCAAUGUUUACAUCGCAGGAACGAUGCUCAUUUGUUGGCUCAGCCAUCUCAGACCCGGUCCAGUGGGGAGCACUUUCACCGCCUCUCCUUGGCUGGGCCUAGCAGGUCGCCCUCAUGCUCCUCUGUAGGUUUGAAGAAGCGGCUGGAAGGACUCCAAAGUGGAGGGGGGGCAAGAGAGCUGUCAUCAUCCCCUUUGAGCUGGAGCAGAAAGUCGCAGAAGCGCCGUUGGAAGGAGAUUAAAAUAAAACUCUGUUCAGAUGAAGAAUGGAGAGAGGGACACAUUUCAGUAACACUGAACACGGUCGCCAUGCCAACCAGGACUUCAAGAUUCAAAGCAGGGUGUCCCUGCAGCUUUCUGUGAAGCAUCUCUCCAGAAAAGUGUUCCUCAAACCAAAACUACCGCAAGGUCCAAUAUAUCACUUCCUGAUUCCUGAUUGUUACCGAACAGCUCAGAAAGAUUUGGAGCUCACCUAAAAACUUUACCUCUAAAUAUAUGACAUUUAAGCCCACAAAGUUCUGUUGCUAUUCUCAGUAGACGUAUUUGUAUAGUAUGGCAGUCAGUACUUGUUAAAUUGCAGGUGCACAGUAUGAUUCCUGCACUAAAAUGUAUAUGUUAAAAUAGCUCUUGCAAAAACUGGUGCCGGUGUGCCAUCACAGGUUUUCAUAAUUUUGUGUUUUUGACCAUAAUUUUCCAUUGUGGAAUAGGGAGGUGCAAUGGGUAAAGUCGAUAACAUAUGAGGACCUAUAUUCAGUGUGUAUGCAUCUUUAUGUAAUAUCUGGCAAACUCAGGUUCUCUAUGUAGUGAGGCCUGUGGUCUACAGUUCCAUGGUCUUUGCCCAUGGUUGGGUGGUCAUGGGUUCAUGUCCCAUGACCAGCAGAAUAAUUAUAUCACUGUGGGGCCCUUGAGCAACGUGCUUCACCCCAAUUGCACCUUCGGACUACUGAGCCUGCUCUCUGAUCCUCACUUGUAUGUAUGUCACUUUGGACAAAAUCAUUUGCUAAAUAACUUGUCUUUUUUAAGUAUCAGAGAGCAUUGUGUAUAGUAGAUGCAUAAAUGUAUGUAAAGCACUGCAAUCGGGCACACAGUCCUCGGAUUCUCUCGCUCCACCCACUAUGUCCAGUGAAUCACAUCUGGUGGCUUGGUAUACCUUAUUAGAGCGGGGGGCAGCAAAAGGUGGAGGAGGAGGCCAAGGUGAAGAAAAGGGUGGAGGAGGAGGAAAAGAAGCAGAAGAAGAAGAAGUGCUGUCCUUACAGCAGGAAACGUAGCAUAUUAGCUUUCUGUCCUCUCCUUGUCUUUUGUGGGGAUUUGGCCACUGAGUUGUUGCUCAUUGGGAAGUGAUUUUAACAUCAAUUGGAUGAUUAAGUAUAUUUAAAUUUAUUUCCAUAAUCUUCAUAAUUGGGGACCUCUUCGCUAGUUGAGUGCCCACUGAGUUAUCUGUUAAUACCAGCUCAAUAAGUAUGUGAAAAAUAAAGCAGGAUUUUACGGUUA